GCUGGGGUUACUCCAAAACCCCUUUUUUGGGGGUGGGAGAAGAGGAUGUCCGUUCAUAAAAGCAUACAGAAAGCAACCGUAAUAAAAGGAGUCAGCGACUCUAACGCUCAGCUUUACCAUUCUUGGAAACGGGGUGUGGAUCUUUUGAUUGUAUUUCCAAAAAUCACCGACAUCCCAAUUCGCAGAGAGGAGCUCUGCACGUUGGAAGAUAACAGGAAAGCUUUCUUUCCUUCCUUUGAGGGAGACCGAGACGAACUGCAGAUCCUCCUCCUGGUAAACCAGAGGAAGCGACAACGAACCCACAGCCCGAGCCGCAGCAGCAGCUCAGUAACAAACUUUGCCGCCAGUUACCGCCGCCAGGACGGAGAACAGCGGCGCCUUCCGCUGCUGCCCCGAGCCCGACCCGCCCCGCCGCCGAGCCCGAGAAGAGCUCCCGCACCGGGACCAAAUCCCGCCGACCGGCCCGUACCUUAUCGCCGUCGGGGGACAGGUUCUGCAGCCGCUCCUUGUCCGCGGCGACGCGGACCUCCCCGGGGUCGGGCUCCGGGACGGCGGCAGGGGCCGGUUCGGGACGUGCGGCGGACGGCGUGGCACGGCGCUGCCCGACGCGCAGCGCGCCGAAGUCCAGGGUUUUGCUCUCGAAGGCGCCCUCGACGCUGCAGAAGAGGCCGCCGCGCUUCUGCCGGGGUACGGCCGCCGUGCCCGGCCGCGCCAGCAGUGCAAAAAUGCACGAUAAAUGAAAAGCAAGAGAUCCAGGUCCUGUCGUAGCAGAUUAGCUACAGAGUUUUGUACUGAGGUGACGGAUGCUGAGCAAGGACAGAGCUACAGAGGCAGAGGCGGGGAGAGAAAUCAUGAGAUAGAGAUUUAUCCCUGUUGGCCUGAGAAUGAAACUAAGUCCUGGCUGAAAUCCCUCUUUGUUGAAGAAGUCGCUGCAGGAGAGAAGUAUUCAAAUAAAAAGAUAAGUUUUAGAAAUUUUAUUUAAGCUAAAACAGCCUCCUUGAAAGUUUUAUGCAUCAAAGAAUAGAGAAAAAGAGCCUAACACUGAGAUCCCCCUGGCUCACAGGGACACUGCAGCCAUCCGAGCUCAGCAUUGCAGGGGUAGCUGUUCUUGCAGCCUGACAUACGCACCAGAGAAUUACCAGGUCUGACCUAGCCCAAUAGUUGCAGCAUUCUUCUCCCACCACCACUACAAAAUGAGUUGCUGAUUGGACCCACAUCAGGCAGUUGUCUGUUUUUCUUGUGGUGGAGCCAAGAUGGAAGGGGAUACUGACAUUUCUCUUAGGGACUGACUUGCAGAUGUCAUUCGCAUGAAAAUUCACCCAUCCAAACUUUACUCCCAUUUCUACUUUGUGCUGCUUCCUGUUAAAUGUCUCCAAAAUAGUGAUGAUGGUUUCAUCUUGCUGUGUUCAUCUUGGCCAGGAGAGCUGGUUUUAUCACAUCUGUAUUUUAACCACAGCCCCAGCUGAAACUAAAAUAUAUUUAAAAAGUAAAAGUAAAGCUGGAUUAACAGCAGUGGAGAUAGAUUUGUGCAAACCCAGUGCAGCUGAAAUUAGAAUCAGGCUUGCUAUGUUUUAUAACAAAGGUAAACGUGUCCUCUUUUUUCAUGGUGCUGGCAAACAAAACAUGUCUGACUCCAUUGGUCAGGCAAAGCAAUUACAUCUCUGAGGUGCUCUGAGAAGAGGCAGGCAAGAAAUGAAUAUGCUGAAGGCAGUUCAAAUUCCUUGAUGUUGAUAUGCAUUGCUGGGCAGCAAAAUGGAUACAUUUUCCUAUGGAUAAAGAACAAAGAAAGCAAGACAGUAAAAAGAGGAAUCUCUCAGCAGAUCCAGGACCAGCACGUCACUCCCUUCCCCACAUUUUAUGAGUGGUUUUGCUCAGUCUGUUUUCACUGUCCUACAUAAUUUCCCCUUUGAAAGUACUGCCAAAUUAUCCUACAGCUGUUAAGGACUAGUGGGCUAUCCCUUCAAGAGAAAGGUUAACAGAGAAUAUCCGUUUAUGUUGCUCACUAAUUAUACCCAAGACAAAAGUAAGCACAACUUAUGAUAAAAAACACCCUCACCUGUAUUACCAACAUCUAUCACCAGGACACAUCCUGACCUUCAGUUCUUUGCAGAUGGUCCUGGAAUGAGCUGUUCCCUGAACUCACUUUCAGUUCCUCACAUAAAGCCCACAUCUCUUUAAGAAGGCCAGAACCCAAACUCAGCUGCACUGGAUGAACCUGGAAGAAGUAAAGUGCAAAAGGCAGACCUUGGCCAGAGUACAUCCCACCACAUGCACUCAGUGUUAGGCCUAUAGUGCACCCAGGGAGAGGGAAGAAGAACAAGUUGGUCCAAUUUCAGCCCACGUGGUGGAUUCCUGUUUCCCAGGGAAAUUCUCAUCGUAUCCGAAUAGAUUUUCUUCCUGGCUGAAAUGUGGUGUGCACAGCUGCUAAGGGUCUGCUCUGCUGGGCUGUGAAAGGUCUCUGCAGCAAACCUCCAAACAAGCAAGGUGUGCUGGCAGGGUUAUGCUCCCAAGAUGCUGUAACUUUCGUUGUAUAGUAUUGUUAUAGUGUUCUUUUCUUUCUCUGUGAUGACAAUAGUACUUGAAGUCUCUGAACUGUCCCUGAAUGUCAUCCAGAGUUAAAUUCAGAACCUUGUGUCAGAAGCUGGAAGAGGAAGCCACAGGUAUUUCAGGAUACUGUAAUGUCUGUGCCUGGUUCUGCAUUGCUAUCUUCUGCAGAUAGAUGUGCAAAACAGGAAGCGGAGGACUGUGCUCCAUUCCACUCUGCCAUGAAUAACCGCUCCCUGAACGGGUGAGGCAAUACAAGUCGUGCUACUAAACCUCUAACAGUUUCAGAAGAAUAGUUUGGAUGGAGGUGGGGUAUUAUGUGCCCUUAUAGGAUUACAGACACUAUAUUAACAUUAAAGUUUCAUCUUUGUACUGUAUGUUUACAUCCUCUUUUGUUGAGUCUGAAGGGGCUUUUCCUCAUUUCCAGCUUGGUUCAAUCAUCUCAGCUGCCAUGACUUCUAAGACAAGGUCCUGUGUUACCGUACCAAAGGCAGACAGCAGCAAAAGGAAUCAGACAGAUUCAUCACACCACAGGCUCAUUCCUGUUGUGCACCACAGCAUGCCACUGUGCUGAGCAUCACCACUCUAUGAAUUUUAGUAAGCAUGAAAAAUAAAGAGCAGAGAGACAAACAGGUGUGCUAACGCCUUGAUCACAAUAUAUAAGAAUCAUAGAAUGGCCUGGGUUGAAAAGGACCACAGUGAUCAUCGAGUUUCAACCCCCCUGCUUUGUGCAGGGUCACCAACCACCGGACCAGGCUGCCCGGAGCCACAGCCAUAGCUUUCGUACAUCCCACAGAACAUCCCAAAAACACUUUAGGGAUUUCAGAUCUGCUACUGCCAAACAUACCAUUCUUCAGAGCACGCAAACCAAGAGGUUAGAAUUCUUUUCCUUUUCCCUAUAUUUUCCCCCUUACUACAGCUUUCUGAGUAAAAAGCGUAGAUAAGAACAUGGCAGGUUACCUUUGCCACGUGGUCUUUCUGCUUCGCUGUUUUUUCCUUCUACCUUUCUGCUAUUUCUGAUGUGCGUGCUCGGACACGGAAGUGAGGAUUUGAGUGUGUGCAAGAUGCUCGAGCAGCUUAUGUCUGUGGUGUGUUCUUACAGAGUGGCUGUCAACAUCAGACUACUUGAAUCCUUCAUUCAGUGCCUAAGCUAACUGCUAAAAACCCAGGCAGCACGUACCAUGGUGAACUCUGAAAGUUUCACAGGCUUUGAUGAGGAGGUAAAAAUAGAGGCUUGUGUUUCUUGCUAAGCUGGAAUGCUCAAAUUCUUUUUACAGCCCAUAUCAGUUAAGCUACUGUAACUGUACUGGCUGGUUUACCCAGGACAAAGAAUAAAGCUUGGCAAACUAGUCACUGUUUCAUAUACAAAAUAAUCCAAAUUACUGUAGCUUGUCAUCUUUUUAUUAUGUUUGGUAGAUAUUGUUGUACUGAGGAGCUUCAUCAACAUGUCCCAGUGGCUUCUCAUAAUCUCCAUUAAACCUGCAUUUUCUG
rnacentral:lncRNA from 1 species